GAUGAACGCCGGCGGUGUGCCUAAUACAUGCAAGUCGUACGCACUGGCCCAACUGAUUGAUGGUGCUUGCACCUGAUUGACGAUGGAUCACCAGUGAGUGGCGGACGGGUGAGUAACACGUAGGUAACCUGCCCCGGAGCGGGGGAUAACAUUUGGAAACAGAUGCUAAUACCGCAUAACAACAAAAGCCACAUGGCUUUUGUUUGAAAGAUGGCUUUGGCUAUCACUCUGGGAUGGACCUGCGGUGCAUUAGCUAGUUGGUAAGGUAAUGGCUUACCAAGGCGAUGAUGCAUAGCCGAGUUGAGAGACUGAUCGGCCACAAUGGAACUGAGACACGGUCCAUACUCCUACGGGAGGCAGCAGUAGGGAAUCUUCCACAAUGGGCGCAAGCCUGAUGGAGCAACACCGCGUGAGUGAAGAAGGGUUUCGGCUCGUAAAGCUCUGUUGUUGGAGAAGAACGUGCGUGAGAGUAACUGUUCACGCAGUGACGGUAUCCAACCAGAAAGUCACGGCUAACUAC
rnacentral:rRNA from 1 species